CCUACGGGUGGCAGCAGUGAGGAAUAUUGGUCAAUGGACGGAAGUCUGAACCAGCCAUGCCGCGUGCAGGAAGACUGCUCUAUGAGUUGUAAACUGCUUUUGUACAAGGGUAAACCUUAAUACGUGUAUUCAGCUGAAAGUACUGUACGAAUAAGGAUCGGCUAACUCCGUGCCAGCAGCCGCGGUAAUACGGAGGAUCCAAGCGUUAUCCGGAUUUAUUGGGUUUAAAGGGUGCGUAGGCGGAUUGAUAAGUCAGAGGUGAAAGUGCCGGGCUUAACUCGGGAACUGCCUCUAAUACUGGUGGUCUAGAGGAGAGAAGCGGUAGGGGGAAUGUAUGGUGGAGCGGUGAAA
rnacentral:rRNA from 1 species